rnacentral:sRNA from 1 species
AUGGAUGCAGGUAGUAAUACGCUGUAUACCUAUGAAACUGAAUUAACGUUUAAGCGAUAUAUUGAUGUCGUCAGACAUAGGGCCGCCAUUGGGCGGUUUUUUUGUUUU